rnacentral:rRNA from 1 species
GUCUACGGCCAUACCACCCUGAACGCGCCCGAUCUCGUCUGAUCUCGGAAGCUAAGCAGGGUCGGGCCUGGUUAGUACUUGGAUGGAUUUAAUACAGGUAGAAGAUA